rnacentral:rRNA from 1 species
AUUGAACGCUGGCGGCAGGCCUAACACAUGCAAGUCGAGCGAGCGGCGGACGGGUGAGUAAUGUCUGGGAAACUGCCUGAUGGAGGGGGAUAACUACUGGAAACGGUAGCUAAUACCGCAUACCAUCGGAUGUGCCCAGAUGGGAUUAGCUAGUAGGUGGGGUAAUGGCGCACCUAGGCGACGAUCCCUAGCGGGUCUGAGAGGAUGACCAGCAACACUGGAACUGAGACACGGUCCAGACUCCUACGGUAGUCAGCAGUGGGGAAUAUUGCACAAUGGGCGAAAGUCUGAUGCAGCCAUGCCGCGUGUAUGAAGAAGGCCGUCGGGUGGUAAAGUACUUUCAGCGAGGAGGCGUUACUCGCAGAAGAAGCACCGGCUAACUCCGUGCCAGCAGCCGCGGUAAUAC